rnacentral:rRNA from 1 species
GAUGAACGCUGGCGGCGUGCCUAACACAUGCAAGUCGAACGAUACCUUUCGGGGUAUAGUGGCGCACGGGUGAGGAACACGUAGCUCAUCGGCCUCAAAGUGCGGGAUAACACCGCGAAAGCGGCGCUAAUACCGCGUAAGCUCCCGAGUUGUAGAGACUUGAGAGAAAAGGCGCAAGUCGCUUUGAGACGAGGCUGCGGCCCAUCAGGUAGUUGGUAAGGUAACGGCUUACCAAGCCGACGAC